ACUUCCGCCCUCGCCUGGGAGCGCCUCUCGCCCCGUCGCGUUUAUCGAGGAGACAGGUUCUAAAAGAGAAAAGCCCUCGCAUUUAAUUUCUCAUACCUGGACCUGCUCUCCCAGCCACUGAAAUACAGUAUAUCCAAGAUCAGUUCUGAUGACCAAGAUCCCAAAGACAAAUUGAAGACCUAGGCCCGAAAACACUGUCCUCCAGGACACCUAGGAUCAAUAAGAAUAUUAUUUCAAUGGUGAAAACUGAGGUUUAGAGAGGGUAAAUAACUUGCCCAAAAUCUGGAAAAGUUUGCCAACCCCUGGUCUUACUCCUCAUUAAGGUGAGCAAAAAUAUUAACCAACAUUCAUUGCAAAACUACAUGUGGACAGCCGGUUCUUUCUUCUUUUUUUUUUUUCAAGACGGUCUCACUCUGUCCCCUAGGCUGGAGUACAGUGGCACGAUCAUGGCUCACUGCAGCCUUAACCUCCUGGGCUCAAGUGAUCCUCCCACCUCGGCCUCCUGGAAUAGCUGGGACUACAGGCACGC
rnacentral:lncRNA from 10 species